CUUGACUACAUCUGGAACUAAAACCUAAAAAUGGAGGGCACAUUUAUGAAGGAUUUUUGCUUAAUUUCAAAUUAGAAGACAAUGAAUGGAGGUCUAUGAUGUUCUUUUCCCUUUCUGGAUCCUGAAGAAGAAACAGAAAUACAAAGGAUUAACCAAUUCCUGAGCUGUACUUCAUUCUCUUGAAGGUACCGAGCCUUCUACUGGAGAGAGAACCCACUGAUCUUCCUGAUGACUGAAGAGGAACCAGUCCCCAGCACAAUCUAGCUCACUCUUAUGAGCAGUUGAAUUAUCUUUUCAUGGAGCUGAGGCCAACAUGUUCUUCUCUCCUGAUCACAUCAGCUUAAUGGAAGAACCUCGGGUACAAUGGAGACAGGGCUCGACUCCCUCACCACACCUCAGGAGUUGGGCAGGGAGCUUUCCUGCUCUAUUCCAACUCAGGACUUUACAAACCAUUCAACUGUCUGUCACUCAUGUCACUGAAGUGAAUGAAAUAUUUUUAAAAUGUUAAGAAAAUAAGAAAAUAAAUAAACCUUAGCUCAUCUACUAUUUGAAGGGGAUCCUCUAUGCUAAAGGAAGAAAUAAAAUUCCAACAUGUUUUCUUCACCCC